rnacentral:rRNA from 1 species
GACGUAGGGCGCGAGCGUUGUCCGGAUUUAUUGGGCGUAAAGAGCUCGUAGGCGGCUUGUUGCGUCGACCGUGAAAACCCGUGGCUUAACUGCGGGCUUGCGGUCGAUACGGGCGGGCUGGAGUUCGGUAGGGGAGACUGGAAUUCCUGGUGUAGCGGUGAAAUGCGCAGAUAUCGGGAGGAACACCAAUGGCGAAGGCAGCUCGCUGGGACGGUACUGACGCUGAGGCGCGAAAGCGUGGGGAGCAAACAGG